AAUUUUGCGUUUUUGUUAAUGGCCUUAUUCUUAAAAAAUAAAGUAUGUGUUUAGGCCUUAAGCCUAAAUAUUUCCAAAAGAUAAUGCACCACCCUAAUGUGUCAUUCGCAUAUGUAAAUGUACAUGCAUACUUGUACACAUGUAUAUAUAUAUUAUAUAUUCGCGCCGUUAGUUUAAGUUUCCCCCCGGAUAAAGUAUCUUUCGUUGAAUUUCCCCUCAAUGUCUUUUCUUUGUCCGCUGGUUCGAACGAAAAUCACGGCUUUAGAUGUGUCACUUUUUCAUCGGGAGACCAAUGAGAAAGAACUGCAGCUACCAGGCCACAUUAGUUUCUGGUAAAACCAUUGUAAACCAACAUAUAUACACCAAUUCAAAAUACUUGGACAAUUAAUAAAACCAUUAAACUAAAAUGAGUUUUAUUUGUCUUUUUUUCCUCAUUUUUCAAACCUCAUUGUGACCACUUUGCGCACCAAACUUGAGCCGUACUGCGUCACAUUGACGUUUUUAUUGGUCCUUAGGAGCCGUGAAACCAACAUACAGUCCACAUUAGAAGAAAAAGCGAACCCAAAAAGUAAUUGAGCCACUUCUACGAAAAAUUUGGUCACAUCAAGCUGCACAUAACAGCGAUCCUGCUACAGCCACAGCCACACUUAUUCGUGCUACGAACCAGCAAAACACUGAUAGCAUCACCGUCCAACAAGCAGUUUCACCAGCUACUAGGAAACUAAGGUUGAAUCUCAAAGAACUCGAAAGCGUAAAAAGUCUGACAAUAACUCAGAGUUUCUCGAAAAGGCCAUACAGCAUCUGGAUCAAGCCAAGAACUCAAAUAGGGAACGCGAUGAUGCUGACGUGUUUGCUGAAUCUUGGGCAAUUUUAUUUAGAAAAUUGUCAGCGGAGCAGCAAAUAUACGCAAAACGAGGUAUUGAAGAGAUCCUAGUACAUGGACAGUUGGGAAACCUUCAUAUGAAUUCUGUACAAAUAACCGUCUCUCAAAGAAAUCCAAGGACCUAUACAAUAUCCCGCGCCUCGACUCCAUGUUCAUCGUCGUCUAUUCCCGACCCUUUUCCUACAGUUUACACACAAGCACCGCAAUUACUUAUUUCAAGGCGCACUAUGCCACGAAAUGAAUACUCGCAGUCCGGGUUUGCAGAAUCACCAGAAUUUAUUCACUCAAAUAAUUCUGGGUCAGCGCAAUCUUUUGAUGAACUAUUUUCGGACGCUCAAUACCAGUGACUUUUCAUUAUUUUAAUUUUAAUUGUUAUUAAUUUUAUAAUUAAAUAAACGUUUAUUAAUAAACUAGCUUAUUGCCGCAGGGUUUCACCCCACGUUAUACAAACAGUUCUUUUGUGUUCUUCACAGUACAUUUUGUAUGUGCCGAAGCUGGUUCA